rnacentral:lncRNA from 1 species
CAGGCUCACUGCGUUAUUUGUUAAAAUGGCCAGCGUGAGGAAUUAUUAAUUAAAGCUAACAAAUCACCCUGACGAGCUGUGCCCUGGCAUGGCUGAAGGUUGAUUGGCGAAAGUGUUCUCCUCUAGAGAAAAGACUUUUUGUGCUUGUGACGCAGUCAGGGACGGAUUAUUGAAUAUGCAAGUUAGAAGAAAAAUCACAGGACAAGCAAAUUGAGUAUUUACUGGCAAAUAAUUGCUCUCUUAAGCUGUGGCUCUCUUCCUAAAUUCUUAACAUUCCCGAGGGUUAGAAAGAAACACAGAAAAAUGCAUCGGUACAGAGUACAUUUCAAAAAAAUUACCUAGACUGAUGUUUCAGACUUGUGCAGAAUGCUUCACUAUCACUAACUGGAUAUUCCUCGUGACAUUGCUGUCUGCAAAGCAGCCUUUAAGUGAAGUGAAGUCACUCAGUCGUGUCCGGCUCUUUAUGACCCCACAGACUGUUGCCUGCCAGGUUCCUCCAUCCAUGGGAUUUUCCAGGCCAGAGUACUGGAGUGGGUUGCCAUUUCCUUCUCCAGGAAACUGGGUCUUCCUGACCCAGGGACUGAACCCAGAUGCCCUGCAUUGUAGGCAGAUGCUUUAUGGUCUGAGCCACCAGGGAAGAUUAAGCAGCCUUUAUUUUCUACUAAAUAUGAGCACAUAGAAUUGUUGAUUGAAUGAAAAGUGAGAAUAAAUGAUUGAAUGAAUGACCA